rnacentral:rRNA from 1 species
UACGGAGGAUCCGAGCGUUAUCCGGAAUUAUUGGGUUUAAAGGGUGCGUAGGCGGCCAUUUAAGUCAGCGGUGAAAUUUUGCAGCUUAACUGUAACAGUGCCGUUGAUACUGUUUGGCUAGGAUUUGGUUGUAGUGUGCGGAAUGUGUGGUGUAGCGGUGAAAUGCUUAGAUAUCACACAGAACACCGAUUGCGAAGGCAGCACACUAAGUCAUUAUUGACGCUGAGGCACGAAAGUGUGGGGAUCAAGCAGGAUUAGA